rnacentral:rRNA from 1 species
UACAGAGGUCUCAAGCGUUGUUCGGAUUCAUUGGGCGUAAAGGGUGUGUAGGUGGCGCCGUAAGUCGGGUGUGAAUUCGGAGCUUAACUCCGAACUGCAUUCGAUACUGCGGUGCUUGAGGACUGGAGAGGAGACUGGAAUUCAUGGUGUAGCAGUGAAAUGCGUAGAGAUCAUGAGGAAGACCAGUGGCGAAGGCGGGUCUCUGGACAGUUCCUGACACUGAGGCACGAAGGCCAGGGAGCAAACGGG